ensembl:snoRNA U3 Small nucleolar RNA U3
AAGACUAUACUUUCAGGGAUCACUUCUAUAGUUUGUUACUAGAGAAGUUUCUCUGAACAUGUAGAGCACCGAUUCAAAAGCUAGC